rnacentral:rRNA from 1 species
AUUAGAGUUUGAUCCUGGCUCAGGACGAACGCUGGCGGCGUGCUUAACACAUGCAAGUCGAACGGUGAAGCCCAGCUUGCUGGGUGGAUCAGUGGCGAACGGGUGAGUAACACGUGAGCAACCUGCCCUCCACUUCGGGAUAAGCCCUGGAAACGGGGUCUAAUACCGGAUACGAGCACUCGACGCAUGUCGGGUGUUGGAAAGUUUUUCGGUGGGGGAUGGGCUCGCGGCCUAUCAGCUUGUUGGUGGGGUAAUGGCCUACCAAGGCGUCGACGGGUAGCCGGCCUGAGAGGGCGACCGGCCACACUGGGACUGAGACACGGCCCAGACUCCUACGGGAGGCAGCAGUGGGGAAUAUUGCACAAUGGGCGAAAGCCUGAUGCAGCGACGCCGCGUGAGGGAUGACGGCCUUCGGGUUGUAAACCUCUUUCAGCAGGGAAGAAGGCCUUCGGGUGGACGGUACCUGCAGAAGAAGCGCCGGCUAACUACGUGCCAGCAGCCGCGGUAAUACGUAGGGCGCAAGCGUUGUCCGGAAUUAUUGGGCGUAAAGAGCUCGUAGGCGGUUUGUCGCGUCUGGUGUGAAAACCUCAGGCUCAACCUGGGGCGUGCAUCGGGUACGGGCAGACUAGAGUGCGGUAGGGGAGACUGGAAUUCCUGGUGUAGCGGUGGAAUGCGCAGAUAUCAGGAGGAACACCGAUGGCGAAGGCAGGUCUCUGGGCCGCAACUGACGCUGAGGAGCGAAAGCAUGGGGAGCGAACAGGAUUAGAUACCCUGGUAGUCCAUGCCGUAAACGUUGGGCACUAGGUGUGGGGCUCAUUCCACGAGUUCCGUGCCGCAGCUAACGCAUUAAGUGCCCCGCCUGGGGAGUACGGCCGCAAGGCUAAAACUCAAAGGAAUUGACGGGGGCCCGCACAAGCGGCGGAGCAUGCGGAUUAAUUCGAUGCAACGCGAAGAACCUUACCAGGGCUUGACAUGCACCGGACGCUGCCAGAGAUGGUGUUCCGCAGGUCGUGCACAGUGGUGCAUGGUGUCGUCAGCUCGUGUCGUGAGAUUGUUGGGUUAAGUCCCGCAACG